rfam:Macaca mulatta chromosome 3, whole genome shotgun sequence.
AGCUUUGCACAGUGGCAGUAUUGUAGCCAAUGAGGUUUAUCCAAGGCAUGAUUAUUGCUAAUUGACAUU